GUUUGCUCACAACAACCUUGUUUGUGGUUCCACUCGUAAUAGCCCCUUUUUCUUGAACUAUGGCUUUAACCCUACUGUUCUUCCGUCGGUGUCUCCUUCCCAGGGUAUACCGUCGGUUGAUAUUCAUGUAGCCAACCUGAGAAAGUUGUGGGAUCAGACUCGACAAAUUCUUGAACAUAGUUCCGCGGUGUUUAAGUCACAUGCUGAUAGGCGUAGACGUCCUGCUCCUAUUUUUUCUCCGGGGGAUAGGGUCUGGUUGUGUACCAGACACAUUCGCCUGAAAGUUCCUUCCUUGAAGUUUGCUCCUCGUUACAUUGGUCCUUACAGGGUACUGAGGAGGAUCAACCCGGUUUCUUAUUUGCUGGAUCUACCUCCUACUCUACGCAUCCCUAACUCUUUUCAUGUGUCGUUAUUGAAACCUCUUGUUUGUAACAGAUUUUCCUCCCGCUCUGCUCCUCCAUCCUCGGUCCGUGUGGAUGGUCAGGAAGAAUAUAUCAAGUCCAUCCUUGAUUCUCGUAUUUCUAGGGGGAAGCUGCAAUACCUCAUAGACUGGAAAGGUUAUGGUCCGGAAGAGAGGUCUUGGGUUCCUGGUAUAGACGUGCAUGCUCCUCGUCUUCUUCGGGCCUUCCACGUUCGUUUUCCCUCUAAGCCCGGUCCCAUCCGCCCGGUGGGCGUUUCUAGAAGGGGGGGUACUGUCAGGGUACCUGUUGGUGAUGUAUCCAGG